rnacentral:rRNA from 1 species
CCUACGGGAGGCAGCAGUGGGGAAUAUUGCGCAAUGGGCGUAAGCCUGACGCAGCGACGCCGCGUGAGGGAUGAAGGUCUUCGGAUCGUAAACCUCUGUCAGCAGGGAAGUACGGUCACUGUGCUAAUCAGCAGUGAAUUGACGGUACCUGCAAAGGAAGCACCGGCUAACUCCGUGCCAGCCGCCGCGGUAAUACGGAGGGUGCGAGCGUUAAUCGGAAUUACUGGGCGUAAAGCGCUCGUAGGCGGUAUGUCAAGUCAAGGGUGAAAUCCCCGGGCUCAACGUGGGAACUGCCUUUGAAACUGGCAAACUGGAGUGUGUGAGAGGAUAGUGGAAUUCCAGGUGUAGGAGUGAAAUCCGUAGAUAUCUGGAGGAACAUCAGUGGCGAAGGCGACUAUCUGGCACAUAACUGACGCUGAGGAGCGAAAGCGUGGGUAGCAAACAGGAUUAGAUACCCCAGUAGUC